rnacentral:rRNA from 1 species
AGUGAACGCUGGCGGUAGGCCUAACACAUGCAAGUCGAACGGCAGCACAGUAAGAGCUUGCUCUUACGGGUGGCGAGUGGCGGACGGGUGAGGAAUACAUCGGAAUCUACUUUUUCGUGGGUGAUAACGUAGGGAAACUUACGCUAAUACCGCAUACGACCUACGGGUGAAAGCAUGGGAUCUUCGGACCUUGCGCGAUUGAAUGAGCCGAUGUCGGAUUAGCUAGUUGGUGGGGUAAAGGCCCACCAAGGCGACGAUCCGUAGCUGGUCUGAGAGGAUGAUCAGCCACACUGGAACUGAGACACGGUCCAGACUCCUACGGGAGGCAGCAGUGGGGAAUAUUGGACAAUGGGCGCAAGCCUGAUCCAGCCAUACCGCGUGGGUGAAGAAGGCCUUCGGGUUGUAAAGCCCUUUUGUUGGGAAAGAAAAGCAGCAGGUUAAUACCCCGCUGUUCUGACGGUACCCAAAGAAUAAGCACCGGCUAACUUCGUG